CGGUAGCGUGUCCGAGCGGCCGAAGGAGCUCGCCUCGAAAGCGAGUGUGGCGCAAGUCACCGAGGGUUCAAAUCCCUCCGCUACCGCUGU
rnacentral:tRNA from 1 species